UGGGGAAUAUUGCACAAUGGGCGCAAGCCUGAUGCAGCAACGCCGCGUGAACGAUGAAGGUUUUCGAAUCGUAAAGCUCUGUCCUAUGAGAAGAUAAUGACGGUAUCAUAGGAGGAAGCCACGGCUAACUACGUGCCAGCAGCCGCGGUAAUACGUAGGUGGCAAGCGUUGUCCGGAAUUAUUGGGCGUAAAGCGCGCGCAGGUGGUUUAGAAAGUCUGAUGUGAAAGCCCACGGCUCAACCGGGGAGGGUCAUUGGAAACUAAUAAACUUGAGUGCAGGAGAGAAAAGUGGAAUUCCUAGUGUAGCGGUGAAAUGCGUAGAGAUUAGGAGGAACACCGGUGGCGAAAGCGGCUUUUGGUCCUGCAACUGACACUGAGGCGCGAAAGCGUGAGGAGCAAACAGG
rnacentral:rRNA from 1 species